AUUGAACGCUGGCGGCAUGCCUUACACAUGCAAGUCGAACGGCAGCACGGGAGCAAUCCUGGUGGCGAGUGGCGAACGGGUGAGUAAUAUAUCGGAACGUGCCCAGUCGUGGGGGAUAACGCAGCGAAAGCUGUGCUAAUACCGCACACGAUCUAAGGAUGAAAGCGGGGGAUCGCAAGACCUCGCGCGAUUGGAGCGGCCGAUAUCAGAUUAGCUAGUUGGUGGGGUAAAGGCCCACCAAGGCGACGAUCUGUAGCUGGUCUGAGAGGACGACCAGCCACACUGGAACUGAGACACGGUCCAGACUCCUACGGGAGGCAGCAGUGGGGAAUUUUGGACAAUGGGCGCAAGCCUGAUCCAGCAAUGCCGCGUGCAGGAUGAAGGCCUUCGGGUUGUAAACUGCUUUUGUACGGAACGAAACGGCCCUUUCUAAUACAGGGGGCUAAUGACGGUACCGUAAGAAUAAGCACCGGCUAACUACGUGCCAGCAGCCGCCGUAACAC
rnacentral:rRNA from 1 species